rnacentral:lncRNA from 1 species
AGAAGUAAUGCGCUCCAGGACCCACAGCUUCCUAGAAGUAAGCGUUAAGUACUGUGUGCCCCUAGCUAGCUAAACCUUUGUUGCCUAGGCUUCUGGGAGGAAUUAGUUCUCAGGAAUGAAUGCCAAUAAGCACUGGAUGACAGAAGAGCUACAGCUCCUAGUAUGCAUGACUGAGAUAUUUCAGCUGAUACCUGCUGUCUUGGGAUCCAGACAAUGGGAUCACUAAUCUUCUGAAUAGCCCGAAAGUACACCAUAGUUCAGUUGCACUCUGUGGAGGGUGGUGGUAGUAGGACCACUUGGUCAUUUACCUCUUGUUUAUCUUAUUUAGAAAGUGAGCAAGAGAGACUCUUGGAAGCUCAAAGCAUGGAGAAAAACAGAGUAAAAGAAAAAUACCUUCAGCAGGCCAGGAGAAGAGAAGAAAUACUAGCUCUCCUGAGGAAACAGAGAGAAGAAAGGAUUGCAAAAGAGCUGAUUUCUCAUCCACAUAAACCAAAGAUCAAAACUGAUCAAAUAAGCAGGCAGAAGGUGUCUGAAGCUGACCUGGUGGAUCAAGAAGCUGUAAAGGCCCUUAAAUAGCUCAGCUGCAUUCUCUGAUGAAGAAAAUAAAGUGUUUCUUUGCCCCA